rnacentral:rRNA from 1 species
CCUACGGGGAGCAGCAGUGAGGAAUAUUGGUCAAUGGGCGUAAGCCUGAACCAGCCAAGUCGCGUGAGGGAUGAAGGUUCUAUGGAUCGUAAACCUCUUUUAUAAGGGAAUAAAGUGUGGGACGUGUCCUGUUUUGUAUGUACCUUAUGAAUAAUGAUCGGCUAACUCCGUGCCAGCAGCCGCGGUAAUACGGAGGAUCCGAGCGUUAUCCGGAUUUAUUGGGUUUAAAGGGUGCGUAGGCGGCCUUUUAAGUCAGCGGUGAAAGUCUGUGGCUCAACCAUAGAAUUGCCGUUGAAAAUGGGAGGCUUGAGUAUGUUUGAGGCAGGCGGAAUGCGUGGUGUAGCGGUGAAAUGCUUAGAUAUCACGCAGAACCCCGAUUGCGAAGGCAGCCUGCCAAGCCAUGACUGACGCUGAUGCACGAAAGCGUGGGGAUCAAACAGGAUUAGAUACCCCGGUAGUC